UACGAAGGGGGCUAGCGUUGUUCGGAAUUACUGGGCGUAAAGCGCACGUAGGCGGAUUUGUAAGUGGGGGGUGAAAUCCCAGGGCUCAACCCUGGAACUGCCUUCUAAACUGCAAGUCUGGAGGUCAGGAGAGGCGAGUGGAAUACCGAGUGUAGAGGUGAAAUUCGUAGAUAUUCGGUGGAACACCAGUGGCGAAGGCGACUCGCUGGACUGAUACUGACGCUGAGGUGCGAAAGCGUGGGGAGCAAACAGG
rnacentral:rRNA from 1 species